rnacentral:rRNA from 1 species
GAUGAACGCUGGCGGCGUGCUUAACACAUGCAAGUCGAACGGAAAGGCCCAAGCUUGCUUGGGUACUCGAGUGGCGAACGGGUGAGUAACACGUGGGUGAUCUGCCCUGCACUUCGGGAUAAGCCUGGGAAACUGGGUCUAAUACCGGAUAGGACGAUGGUUUGGAUGCCAUUGUGGAAAGUUUUUUCGGUGUGGGAUGAGCUCGCGGCCUAUCAGCUUGUUGGUGGGGUAAUGGCCUACCAAGGCGUCGACGGGUAGCCGGCCUGAGAGGGUGUACGGCCACAUUGGGACUGAGAGACGGCCCAGACUCCUACGGGAGGCAGCAGUGGGGAAUAUUGCACAAUGGGCGCAAGCCUGAUGCAGCGACGCCGCGUGGGGGAUGACGGCCUUCGGGUUGGAAACUCCUUUCGCUAGGGACGAAGCGUUUUGUGACGGUACCUGGAGAAGAAGCACCGGCUAACUACGUG